UAACAUCUUUGGAAAUUAGCUGUUUCUGUUUGCUACACGCUAGUAAACAAGCUCUGCCAGACUGCUAGGCACUAGGCAGUACACAGGUCUGAGCGCACGAAAUAGUUGUGUAGUGAGUUAGAGGAGAACAUGUCCAGAAUACCGGGGUACGAUACUCAUGACGAUGGGCCAGGUUUCGUCGGAAUCAGGUUCUGCCAGGAAUGUAAUAACAUGUUGUACCCAAAAGAAGACAAGGAAAACAAAGUACUUUUGUACGCUUGCCGCAAUUGUGAUUACAAGCAAGUAGCAGAUAGCAAUUGCAUUUAUGUCAACAAAAUUAUGCACGAAAUAGAUGAGUUAACGCAUAUUGUCUCUGAUGUUAUUUCUGACCCUACAUUGCCACGAACUGAGGAACAUCCCUGUCCGAAAUGUAAUCACAGAGAAGCUGUGUUUUUCCAGGCACAAACAAGGAGAGCUGAGGAGGAGAUGAGACUUUACUAUGUGUGUACAAAUACUCAUUGUACACACAGAUGGACAGAGUAAAUAGUGAUUUGGAAAAGCUGUACACCUUUACUUCACAUCAACUUGCACAGGAUAGUUGUGAAGUGAGGGUGCGUGUGCAUGCGCGGGUGCUUGCAUGUGUGCACACUAAAUAAUUCUAAUAUAAACUAUUUUUGUUGAGUGUGCUCUGCAUCAUUGCAUACAUUGUGAGUGGCUAUGUUUUUUUUUAAAUGUGUUAAUUGUGUAUUGGUUGUUUUGUCAGUUUGAAAAUGUACGUUAUAGAUGUUAAUAAGUAAUCAGUCACUUUUGAAAAGAUUUUAAUUUAAAAUAGUACAUAGCACUGAAAGAUAAAAUUUAAUCAUCAUGUUUUUACAAUUGUGUAUGAAAUAACUUAUAUUUGACCUGAAACACAUUGAAAAUCUGUUAGCUGAUGUUAUAUGGACUUGCUAUACAGACUCCAUAUUGAAGUACAGAAAAUUGGAGCUAUGUCACCCACUGGCAUAGUGAGGAGGAGGGGUGGGAAGUCUAUCACCCCCAAGGGUGCAGAUCGCAGAGUGGUGCCAAAUCAUCUCAAAGACAAAAAAGAUUUUCCAGAAAAUAUGUUACAUAAUAAUUCUGGAGGGGGAGGGCAAUAAAGUGCUGUGCCAGUUUUGUUCGUUACAUCACUGUUUUCCUGUACAGAUUGACAAUGUUAGGUUUUUUUUUAGGCAGUGGGUGUGUAGUUUUAGGUAACCAGGGACUGUUUAUUGUUUAUCACAAUCAUUAACAAACAUAGUUAUCUUGCAUGUUUUCCAUGACAAAGGUGGGUUGUUUAUGCAAAUCAGAAACAGCAGCGGACCUAGGACUGAUCCCUGAGUGACUCCAUGGAAUACAGCUGUGUACUGUGAGCAGUGUUGCCUUGAAAAUGACCAUGUCUGCAUCUGUUGAAAUAUUGGUGAUUGUUAACAAUAUCACCCAGCUGCAUCCCUGUAAGUUAUUUAAACAAUUCUGUGACUAAUGAUGCUGCCAUUCUUUGUAAAUGCUCAGUUCCUGCUUGUAGUCCUACCUUGUAUACAUCCACACGAUGAAUGGGUCACAUGAGCAUUUCCUUUGUAGAGUGACUUCAUUUUCUCAGUAUCCUACCAAUGAAACCAACACACACAGAGUAAUAUAUGUUGUGAACGUAGGAGAUAAUUUCAAGAAUGAGAAUGAAAAGUGACAAUUUAGACAGGAAAUUGUUUCAACCACUUUUUAAUGACAAGAUAUUUAGGACCAGAGUCAUACAGAUAAUUAAAAGUUUGGAAAUUA